rnacentral:piRNA from 1 species
UCAGAUGGAUGCCAGAUGUUGUGAGUUCC